rnacentral:lncRNA from 1 species
CGCGGCCAGCCCGGCUUUGCGGAGGGAUAUCUCACCCCUCCUCUGUCCCUCUCCUCCCUUCGCCCGCCUCCCCCCUUUUUUGCUCUUGCUCCCCCCGCCCCACCUCACCCCGCCUUUCUCCUUUUGCAAGAAAAUAAUUUGACAGUCGAUUUGCUGACAGGGGAAGAAUUUGCAUCCUGGAUUAAAAAAAAAAAAGGCCGAGAGGAGCUUGGGAACGGUUGCUAGGGCCCCACCGGCCCCCUGUCGCACCCCCCAAGCGGAGACUGGGCUUCCUGUCUUUUUGCCAUGCACUUGUUGCAGAAGCAGCCAAGUCUUCCGAUACUCAGGCCCUAAAGAGCUCCAGACAGCCCCCCGCCGAAUGAUCAGCCCCGCAAAUGCUCUGAUAAAUUCAGGAGAGAAUCAUGCGGCCUACAGUCAUCCACUGAUGGAUUGUCCCGACCAGAAGUUACACAGGGAAGAGAUGAAACAAGCUCACCCUGCUUGGUUCUGGGCCAAGGCUUGGCUAUGCAGAACACAAGGCUGAGGAGGCCCUGAUCCCUCUUCGAGGCCUACUUGGGGAUAGCACGAUGUCCUGAGAGGUCACCCAGGCUGAACUCUGUAUCUGGCCCCUGACGGCCUCCCAGGUCCUGACCAGCUGGCCCCUGCUACACCCAGUGGCUGCAGAGCACUGUAGUGCUAAGUGUGUACUAAUGCACCAGGAGUCUGACCUAAUAAAGAAAAAAUAAGUAUGUAAAAGACAAUGUAUUUCAUUUGCUAAGCAUUUGCUUUUAAGUCUCCUGAGUAAAAUAGUUUUUCUUUUUUCUUUUUUUCUGGUACUGGGAAUUGGACUUGGGCCUUUGCACUGAAUUCCAUCUCUAGCCCUUCUUCUUCUUCUUUUUUUUUUUUUGGUACCAGGGAUCAAACUCAGGACCUUGUACUUGUGAGGCAGGCACAGUGCCACUGAGCUAAAUCCCCGGCACUAGCCCUUCUUUUUUUGAGACAGGGACUAAGCUAAGUCACUAAGUUAUCAGGUUGGGCUUGAACUUGUGACCCUCUUCGCCCUCAGCCUCUCAGCAUGCUGGGAUUACAA